GUCUCCGUAGCUCAGAUGGAUAGAGCACAGAAUUCCUAAUUCUGGGGCCGUGGGUUCAACUCCCGCCGGAGACGCCA
rnacentral:tRNA from 1 species